rfam:Gossypium arboreum cultivar AKA8401 contig_2560_7, whole genome shotgun sequence.
AGCUCAUGGUGAGUGCACCUUCUCAAGAGGUCCUUGUAUCUCUCCCAUGCAUCAUAGAGUGUUUCUAGAUUCGUUUUCACAAAAGAAGAGAUAUCAUUCCUUAAUUU